UGGGGAAUAUUGCACAAUGGGCGAAAGCCUGAUGCAGCGACGCCGCGUGAGGGAUGGAGGCCUUCGGGUUGUAAACUCCUUUCAGUACAGAAGAAGCUUUAUUGUGACGGUAUGUGCAGAAGAAGCGCCGGCUAACUACGUGCCAGCAGCCGCGGUAAUACGUAGGGCGCGAGCGUUGUCCGGAAUUAUUGGGCGUAAAGAGCUCGUAGGCGGUUUGUCGCGUCUGCUGUGAAAGACCGGGGCUUAACUCCGGGGCUGCAGUGGGUACGGGCAGGCUGGAGUGCGGUAGGGGUAACCGGAAUUCCUGGUGUAGCGGUGGAAUGCGCAGAUAUCAGGAGGAACACCGAUGGCGAAGGCAGGUUACUGGGCCGUUACUGACGCUGAGGAGCGAAAGCAUGGGGAGCGAACAGG
rnacentral:rRNA from 1 species